GGCAGCCACUGAAUUGUUUCCUCUCAGUGUGAUUCCUGUGUAUAAUUGUCUGUUGCUUUUGGCAUGGUGCAGACUUCGUUUUAUAAAUAGCUACUUUCUGUUCUGAAUUGCUAACAGCAUGUGGUAUUUUUAGUGCUGGAUUAGGUGUUUGGUGGCCCAUGAGGAUUUGAUUACCAGGUUUAUCGGGCUCAAAGCGAGGUGAUCAGUCUGAAAAUUGACCCCGUAAAUCUCCACACAGCAUGCAUGAUGCCUGGGUUCUGCACACCUGAAUGUGAGUCGUUGUACCUUGCAUGUGUUCAUUGUGCAAAUUGAUCCAGUAAAAAUUCAGACGCGUGCCACCUGAUUAAGAUUAUGCACUAUGUCUCAUCCUAAAUCUUGUUAAGCACUUGCAGGACAUAAGGUCAACACAUCAGACUUGUAACGUA
ensembl:lncRNA